rnacentral:tRNA from 1 species
AAGCGAGAAGCAAAUAUUGCAAUCAGUUUCGACCUGAUCUUAGAUAAUAACACUUUAUCCCCGCUUU